rnacentral:rRNA from 1 species
UGGGGAAUAUUGGACAAUGGGGGGAACCCUGAUCCAGCCAUGCCGCGUGUGUGAAGAAGGCCUUUUGGUUGUAAAGCACUUUAAGCGAGGAGGAGGCUCCUGUAGAUAAUACCUACAGUGAGUGGACGUUACUCGCAGAAUAAGCACCGGCUAACUCUGUGCCAGCAGCCGCGGUAAUACAGAGGGUGCGAGCGUUAAUCGGAUUUACUGGGCGUAAAGCGCGCGUAGGUGGUUAAUUAAGUCAAAUGUGAAAUCCCUGAGCUUAACUUAGGAAUUGCAUUCGAUACUGGUUAGCUAGAGUAUGGGAGAGGAUGGUAGAAUUCCAGGUGUAGCGGUGAAAUGCGUAGAGAUCUGGAGGAAUACCGAUGGCGAAGGCAGCCAUCUGGCCUAAUACUGACAC